rnacentral:rRNA from 1 species
GCCCCGGUAAACGGCGGCCGUAACUAUAACGGUCCUAAGGUAGCGAAAUUCCUUGUCGGGUAAGUUCCGACCUGCACGAAUGGCGUAAUGAUGGCCAGGCUGUCUCCACCCGAGACUCAGUGAAAUUGAACUCGCUGUGAAGAUGCAGUGUACCCGCGGCAAGACGGAAAGACCCCGUGAACCUUUACUAUAGCUUGACACUGAACAUUGAGCCUUGAUGUGUAGGAUAGGUGGGAGGCUUUGAAGUGUGGACGCCAGUCUGCAUGGAGCCGACCUUGAAAUACCACCCUUUAAUGUUUGAUGUUCUAACGUUGGCCCGUAAUCCGGGUUGCGGACAGUGUCUGGUGGGUAGUUUGACUGGGGCGGUCUCCUCCUAAAGAGUAACGGAGGAGCACGAAGGUUGGCUAAUCCUGGUCGGACAUCAGGAGGUUAGUGCAAUGGCAUAAGCCAGCUUGACUGCGAGCGUGACGGCGCGAGCAGGUGCGAAAGCAGGUCAUAGUGAUCCGGUGGUUCUGAAUGGAAGGGCCAUCGCUCAACGGAUAAAAGGUACUCCGGGGAUAACAGGCUGAUACCGCCCAAGAGUUCAUAUCGACGGCGGUGUUUGGCACCUCGAUGUCGGCUCAUCACAUCCUGGGGCUGAAGUAGGUCCCAAGGGUAUGGCUGUUCGCCAUUUAAAGUGGUACGCGAGCUGGGUUUAGAACGUCGUGAGACAGUUCGGUCCCUAUCUGCCGUGGGCGCUGGAGAACUGAGGGGGGCUGCUCCUAGUACGAGAGGACCGGAGUGGACGCAUCACUGGUGUUCGGGUUGUCAUGCCAAUGGCACUGCCCGGUAGCUAAAUGCGGAAGAGAUAAGUGCUGAAAGCAUCUAAGCACGAAACUUGCCCCGAGAUGAGUUCUCCCUGACUCCUUGAGAGUCCUGAAGGAACGUUGAAGACGACGACGUUGAUAGGCCGGGUGUGUAAGCGCAGCGAUGCGUUGAGCUAACCGGU